GAUUGAUUGUGGGGGUUUCUGCCCCCCGGAAGCCAGCUUUUCGGGGCUCCGGGGCUCGCCUGCUCUUCCAAAGAGAAAAAGGACAAAAGGCCGGCGUCCAUGUUGGCAUCAUGACGCAGCAUCUCUCUCCCGCCUGCAGCCUGGCGCUGCUUGUCCUCCGGGCCGCGCUCGCUCCUCCCUCCCAAACACGAGUUUUAUUUUCAGGUUUUUGAGCCGAGCCGAGGGCUGGGUCGGGUUGGAGCCAAGGCUGAAGCCGCCGGGCCGUUCAAUACUGCUCUCUGGCUAAUGGCGGCCGGCUUUCCUCCUUCCUUCCUUCCGCCAUCCUGCUUUUCCCCGGUUGUCGCUGGGAGCCGAGAGGCAGCCCCGAGCCCUAAGAGCCUGCCAGGUCUUGGCUGGAGACCGGAGCCAUGUCUGUGUUAUCCCCACUGUAGACAAUCCUUGCUUCCUCUGGACAUCUGGAGCAGGCCCAAUUUGACUGACAGCCUUCCCCACUAAGAAGUGAAUUCUCCCCUUGGCAAACUGCAGCCAGCCAGCCUCCUGGGUCGAGAGCCAAGCCAAAAGAUGUCUGAGAGAAGAAACCUGGUGUCCUGCAAAGGUAAGUGGGUCCCAGCCCACUCUCAAUCUCCCUCUCUUUG
rnacentral:lncRNA from 1 species